UGGUCAAGUUAUUAAGGGUGCAGGGUGGAUGCCUUGGCACUAGGAGCCGAUGAAGGACGUGAUAAGCUGCGAUAAGCUUCGGGGAGUUGCACGUAAACUUUGAUCCGAAGAUUUCCGAAUGAGGAAACUCACUUAGAGUAAUGUCUAAGUAUCAUUAAGUGAAUACAUAGCUUAAUGAGGGGAACUCAGGGAACUGAAACAUCUAAGUACCUGAAGGAAGAGAAAGAAAUUCGAUUCCGUAAGUAGCGGCGAGCGAACGCGGAUUAGCCCAAACCAAUAAAGUUUUCUUUAUUGGGGUUGCGGACAUAUCAUAACGAAGAGGUAUCGUAAUUGAAGAGGUUUGGAAAGACCCACCACAGAAGGUAAUAGUCCUGUAUGUUAAACGAGAAGACUUCAGAUAUGAUCCAGAGUACCACGGGACACGUGAAACCCUGUGGGAAGCAGGAGGGACCACCCUCCAAGGCUAAAUACUACCUAGUGACCGAUAGCGUAUAGUACCGUGAGGGAAAGGUGAAAAGAACCCCGGGAGGGGAGUGAAAUAGAACCUGAAACCCUGCACUUACAAG
rnacentral:rRNA from 1 species